UACAGAGGUCCCAAGCGUUGUUCGGAUUCACUGGGCGUAAAGGGUGCGUAGGUGGUGAGGUAAGUCGGAUGUGAAAGCUCGGAGCUCAACUCCGAAAUGGCAUUGGAAACUACCUUGCUCGAGGGUUGGAGGGGGACUGGAAUACUUGGUGUAGCAGUGAAAUGCGUAGAUAUCGAGAGGAACACUCGUGGCGAAGGCGAGCUACUGGACAACAUCUGACGCUGAGGCUCGAAGGCUAGGGGAGCAAAAGGG
rnacentral:rRNA from 1 species